GUGUAUGAUGGGAUGAGAAUCCAAGAUAAUGUCAAAGUCAUUUGAAAGUGACUUCAAGUAAGGUUUCUUAACAGUCACACCUCUGAAAUGCAGCUCAUCUCCUUGGGCAUGACCUUGAAUAAUCUCCUUGAAUAUCCCUUGAACGAUCUCCUGACUUCGGUGAGCUUCCCCUGUUGAGCCCAUGAGGAUGGCUACAGCUGCCCUUAGCUUGAGUGGCUUCUUCACAUUAAAGGUAAGAACACUGAGGCUCCAAGAACAUCUAUACUUUCCCAAGGUCAAUAGGUGGUAAGUGCAGAGAUACUGACCCCAGCGCCUGAGCUCAGAACAUCUCCGCUGCCCACUGGAUUGGACCCAAAGUGAAU